rnacentral:lncRNA from 10 species
AUAUAAGGCAAUAUUCUCAGAUUCUGGGGAUUAACGCCUGAUCAGUUUGGAGGGGGGUAUUUUUCAACCUUCCAUCAGCAACGGAUAAACCUUCUUGCUGCGCCUCAUCCUUCCACCCAUGCUUGGCAUCAUCUGACUUCUACAUUUUGCUAGUUUUAUUAUUUUUAUUUUUUGAGACAGAGUCUCGCUCUGUUGCCCAGGCUGGAGUGCAGUGGUGCGAUCUCGGCUCACUACAACCUCCGCCUCCCUGGUUCAAGUGAUUCUCAUGUCUCAGCCUCCAGAGUAGCUAGGAUUACAGACAUGCACUACCACGCCUGGCUAAUUUUUGUAUUUUCAGUAGAGACGGGGUUUCACUAUGUUGGCCAGGCUGGUCUUCAACUCCUGACCUCAGGUGAUCCACUGGCCUCCCAAAAUGCUGGGAUUACAGGCGUGUGUGAGCCACCAUGCCUGGCCAUUUUGCUAGUUUUAAAAUGUAUUCAUCUUGAGGUAUUGAUGCCUUUUCUGGGCCUGGCCUGGUGCUAAGCAUGGGGACACAAUAAGUCAGACACAAUCCUUGACCUCUAGGACUUCAGGGUUGGAUGAGUGAGAUGGACAAGUGAGUCAGGUGCUAUGACAGAGUCAAUUGUGAUUGUGUCUAAGAGCAAUUGAUCCAGCCUGGGGAGGUCAAGAAGGACUUCCUGGAGGAGGCGAUCCUUCAGUUGAGGCGUAAAGGACUAGAAGAAGUUAGGUAGGUGGGAGGACUUGAGGAAGUGAGAGAGGGUGUUUCAGAGACCAGCAAAGGUAAAGGCGUGAAGGCAUGAAACAACAUGACUUAUCUGAGAAAUGCCAAAUGGAGACCUCUCCCUGACUCUGCCUGGCCUUCAGACACUUUCAGAAGGCGGUUAACACCAUCUGGCCUUGAGAAUUCUGAGUCUUUAUAUUUCAGGAUUGAGCUGAGACCUUUGUGAAACAUCAUCUCUGGGAGGGCCAGCCUGGGCCCAGCUCACAGACAUAAGCUGUCCUCAUAUCCCAACUUCUCAUUGACUCACACACGCACUCAGUGCUUUAUUGAGCACCUAGUGUGUGUCAGUUGCUGGGCAAGGUGCCAGGGCUGUACUGUAGCAAGGAAAACAGGAGACAAGGUCCCUGCCAUCAUGAAGCUCAUGUGCUACAGGGAGUGACAGACAGCAGAAAAAUUUUGUCUGCUCCUAAGAAGAGGAUUUUCUGUCCAAGUUCAGUGGACGAGAGCACCAGACACCCCCUGGAAAGACUCAAGAUUCCAGCCCUGUCCUGUGGUCCCUUCAACUGACAGCAACCACUCACUCCCCAGCCCCACUUACUAUCAAGGGAGCCCAGGGCCUGCUUCACCCAGGCCCUGGGAACAAGAUUUGAGAAGCAAAUGAAUUGUGUGAGUUAAUUCAAGGGCCACCUUUGGCUCCCUUAGCAGCACAAAUUGUCCCUGAGGACAUUGACUCGAUUCUUGGAUACAAAGGGAGAUACGAAUUUACCUUUGACUGCUCUCUGGGCAUUAAAGCUGGUCUUGAAUGUUUUCUCUGGGCGGUUCCCUGUCAUUAGGGAGGUGCCCACAUUUACCAAAUCAACGAGCCCGAUUUCACCUGGUCACACCCUUCCUUGGCACAGAAAACAGUGACUUCUUUUUCCUCC